rnacentral:rRNA from 1 species
GAUGAACGCUGGCGGCGUGCCUAAUACAUGCAAGUCGAGCGAACAGACGAGGAGCUUGCUCCUCUGACGUUAGCGGCGGACGGGUGAGUAACACGUGGAUAACCUACCUAUAAGACUGGGAUAACUUCGGGAAACCGGAGCUAAUACCGGAUAAUAUAUUGAACCGCAUGGUUCAAUAGUGAAAGACGGUUUUGCUGUCACUUAUAGAUGGAUCCCGGCCGCAUUAGCUAGUUGGUAAGGUAACGGCUUACCAAGGCAACGAUGCGUAGCCGACCUGAGAGGGUGAUCGGCCACACUGGAACUGAGACACGGUCCAGACUCCUACGGGAGGCAGCAGUAGGGAAUCUUCCGCAAUGGGCGAAAGCCUGACGGAGCAACGCCGCGUGAGUGAUGAAGGUCUUCGGAUCGUAAAACUCUGUUAUUAGGGAAGAACAAAUGUGUAAGUAACUAUGCACGUCUUGACGGUACCUAAUCAGAAAGCCACGGCUAACUACGUG